rnacentral:tRNA from 1 species
GGGCCGGUAGCUCAGCCUGGAAGACGGCCCCAUAAGCGUCGUUUGGGCGAGAGAGCAUCUGACUUUUAAUCAGGUGGUCGCGGGUUCGAAUCCCGUCCGGCCCA